GUGGAGUCGCACAGACAACCAGAGGUUGGCUUGAAGCAGCACCCUUCGAAAGAGUGCGUAAUAGCUCACUGGUCUAGUGAUUCCGCGCCGACAAUGUAGCGGGGCGUCAAGCGUACCGCCGAAGUCGUGUCAUUGCAGCAAUACGGCCAACGCCGGCUGUGAUGGUAGGGGAGCGUCGUGUGCCGGGUGAAGCAGCACCGGAAGGUAGUUGUGGACGGUUCACGAGUGAGAAUGCAGGCAUGAGUAGCGAUUCACACGUGAGAAACGUGUGCGCCGAUUGACUAAGGGUUCCUGGGUCAAGCUGAUCUGCCCAGGGUAAGUCGGGACCUAAGGCGAGGCCGACAGGCGUAGUCGAUGGAUAACCGGUUGAUAUUCCGGUACCCGCUGUGAAGCGUCAAACAUCGAAUCCAGU
rnacentral:ncRNA from 1 species